AUUGAACGCUGGCGGCAUGCCUUACACAUGCCAGUCGAACGGCAGCACGGGUGCUUGCCCCUGGUGGCGAGUGGCGAACGGGUGAGUAAUACAUCGGAACAUGUCCUGUAGUGGGGGAUAGCCCGGCGAAAGCCGAAUUAAUACCGCAUACGAUCUACGGAUGAAAGCGGGGGACCUUCGGGCCUCGCGCUAUAGGGUUGGCCGAUGGCUGAUUAGCUAGUUGGUGGGGUAAAGGCCUACCAAGGCGACGAUCAGUAGCUGGUCUGAGAGGACGACCAGCCACACUGGGACUGAGACACGGCCCAGACUCCUACGGGAGGCAGCAGUGGGGAAUUUUGGACAAUGGGCGAAAGCCUGAUCCAGCAAUGCCGCGUGUGUGAAGAAGGCCUUCGGGUUGUAAAGCACUUUUGUCCGGAAAGAAAUCCUUGGCCCUAAUACGGUCGGGGGAUGACGGUACCGGAAGAAUAAGCACCGGCUAACUACGUG
rnacentral:rRNA from 1 species